rnacentral:rRNA from 1 species
UAGGGAAUCUUCGGCAAUGGACGAAAGUCUGACCGAGCAACGCCGCGUGAGUGAAGAAGGUUUUCGGAUCGUAAAACUCUGUUGUUAGAGAAGAACAAGGACGUUAGUAACUGAACGUCCCCUGACGGUAUCUAACCAGAAAGCCACGGCUAACUACGUGCCAGCAGCCGCGGUAAUACGUAGGUGGCAAGCGUUGUCCGGAUUUAUUGGGCGUAAAGCGAGCGCAGGCGGUUUCUUAAGUCUGAUGUGAAAGCCCCCGGCUCAACCGGGGAGGGUCAUUGGAAACUGGGUGACUUGAGUGCAGAAGAGGGGAGUGGAAUUCCAUGUGAAGCGGUGAAAUGCGUAGAUAUAUGGAGGAACACCAGUGGCGAAGGCUGCUCUCUGGUCUGUAACUGACGCUGAGGCUCGAAAGCGUGGGGAGCAAACAGG